rnacentral:lncRNA from 1 species
AAGAACUUCAUACCAAGCCGGAAAGGACAUUAUCUGGAAAAGCGUCGAUUUUGAUCAGAAUGGAUAACAAGGACAUGCCUAUCCCUAUGAGUUUAGAUUCAAUAAAAAAAUAUUUAAAAAAAAAAAGAAAAAAAAGAAAAAAGAGAGGACUAAGGUAAAAACCUGCAAAGGGCAGCUUGAGUCCCAAAAAAAAAGUGAUGUGAAAAAAAUGAAGAAAUGAAAACAAAAAUAAAAUGGAGAGGCUAAGGUGAAAACCCGCAAAGGGCACCUUAGAC